rnacentral:rRNA from 1 species
GAUGAACGCUAGCGGCAGGCUUAACACAUGCAAGUCGAGGGGUAACAGGGAUUGCUUGCAAUCCGCUGACGACCGGCGAACGGGUGCGUAACGCGUAUGCAACCUACCUUUUACAGGGGAAUAGCCCAAAGAAAUUUGGAAUAAUACCCCAUAAGAUCUUUAAUUGGCAUCAAUCAAAGAAGAAAACUCCGGUGGUAAAAGAUGGGCAUGCGUCCUAUUAGUUAGUUGGUAAGGUAACGGCUUACCAAGACUUCGAUAGGUAGGGGUCCUGAGAGGGAGAUCCCCCACACUGGUACUGAGACACGGACCAGACUCCUACGGGAGGCAGCAGUGAGGAAUAUUGGACAAUGGAGGCAACUCUGAUCCAGCCAUGCCGCGUGCAGGAAGACUGCCCUAUGGGUUGUAAACUGCUUUUAUACAGGAAGAAUUGCAUCUACGUGUAGUUGCUUGACGGUACUGUACGAAUAAGGAUCGGCUAACUCCGUG